CUGCCCCGCCCCCACCGCACCCCGCUCGCGGGGCAGAGCGGGACGGCGCGGGCGCGCGGCCGACCGUUGGUGUGGGGGGGAGGGAGAGGGUCGCCCCAGCCCGCCGCCCWCGGGCGCCUCGCCGCCGUCCCCUCGCCUCGCCCCCAGUUCUGCCGGCAGCCCCUCCUGUUUCCCUGCCCCUCCCGGGAAGCCCCGGGAGCCCCGUCGUUUGCCCCUGCGGUGGCGGUGGCGGGGGGAAGCCCGGGGCGUCCAGCCUCGCUGGGGCUCAGCUGCGCCGGCCCUAGAAGGCGUAACGCAUUCUGGUUCUGGCCGCUUUGGGCCGAGGCGGCUUGCUCAGGGAGGAGAGGCCCUGCUUGCCCCAUGCACCCGGCGAGAGGGCAGCCACCUGCCGCCCUGGGGACCGGGAGCAGUGGCCCAGGAGGUUGUGGAAGUGUCUUCUAAACCAUUACAGUUGCAGACAAGAGGAGUUCAUUUCAAAUUGAUGAUUGUACUGUAAGUAUCUGGAAUUGCUUGGUCCAGUCACCUUGUUGCUUUUUCAUCUCUGAACAAUCAAAUGAAGCAUCUCUGAAGAUUCCUGAUGGAUGCUGUCAACUUUGUACUGAUAUUACAGUGUAUUUCAGCAUAUGUUCAAAGUGGGGCAGUAAUUUUCAAUCUAUUUUCAAGUAUGCCACAGUAAAGUUUUUCUAUCAGAAUAUACCAAGUCCAAGCCCAAAGAACUGUGCAUUUUUGCAUGUUGUGCAUUUGUGGGUGGGAGCUUUCACACAUGGAUCUUUAUAGAUGUGCAUGAGAGAAUGAUGUAUUGGUGAUAUUGCCUACUUCUAUUGUACUGUGAAGUGCAUUUUUUCCACAAAUCAUACUGCCUAUAUCUCUUAUUCUAUACAAACUCUGAUUAACUUUUUUCCUGGGAAACCACGUGAAACUUGUUUACAUUUCAUAACGUAUGCACGAAUUUUCCAAACCUUGUUACAGAGUGCUUCAGGACCUAAGCAGGUAAUUUGCUGGUAAGAAUGUUGAAGUACAGGAAACUGUGCCAAAGAUUUUUUUCAUCCUAAAAAGGGAACUUUGACAGCAUUAUAUCAUGAAUUCCCAUAUUUGUUCUUUCUCAGCUUGCAAGGAAAGCAGGGAUUAUUUUAAAGUAACGAUUCUGCAAAUUCACGUGUAGAUAGGCUAAAAGAACUUGAAGUUCCUGGAGAAAUGAUUUUUGAGCUUCACUUAAGCUGUAUGGAAUUGUAUAAAAAUCUAGCUGCUGAUUUGGUUAGUUUAUGGAGGCAUUGAGGGAACAAGUAACUUAGUCACCAACAUAAAAGAACAGCAAGAGGAGCACAGCCUUUUGUAUCCUUAGGGGCUGUGCAUGCAAACUCUGCAGGAGAUCUUGGGCUGUAGUAGAGGUGGAAAUAUGGAAGAACUGUGAAAUUCUCUGAGAAACCUCCUCCAGCCCAUAGCAGAACGGCUGGCUGCUAGUCAUGCUGUCACUGGCUGCUGGCCAGCAUCAGUAC
rnacentral:lncRNA from 1 species